GAUAUAGUUGAAAUAAACAAAGAAACAUUGUCAGCAAUUCAUUUCUUCUUAUUCUAUGAAGCACUUCUUUUAUGAACAUACUGCUUUAUGUGUGCUUAAGUAAGUGGGGUUGGUAUAUCUGUAAGCUUCGUUUCUUUCGUUUACUGCUUAUUCUUAGUAGUUAAGCUAUAUUAAUUUGUGUCACCUUUCGUGGUUAAGUAUCAGGUGGAAACCACCCUCUCCGUGAAAACUAUGUGGAAAUCACCUGUGAAGUUCUAAAAAAUCUCAAAUAAGAAGCAUAUGCAGGUCUGGUGACAUUAUAUAAAUCUGUAGAAUUUGAAAAGUAAACAAAACCCAAAACUGCGUUCGGAAGAUAUGGAAAAGACAAAACAUGAAAAAUGACUGUAUCUCUCUUCAUUUUACUGCUUCUUAGUUCCAUAUUUUCCAAAUUUGAUUUUUUUUAUCUUGAAAUUUUACAGGUUUAUAGAACAUGACAUCCCCUACAUAUGGUAUUUUUUUUACAACCUUUUAGAACUUCUACACAGGGUUUCCACAGGGUUUUCACAGAGAGGGUGAUUUCCACCUUAGAUUCGCCAACUUUUUUUACCUUUGCGUGGCUAGAAGUUCCUUUGUCUUCUUGAUGCAAUCGUGCAAAGACAGAAGCUCUUCAAGGUCGAAAAGGUUCUCAUGCUUUCUUGAACAUACUCAUUCUUAUUGAAAUGACAUAUCAGUUAAUAUGGGUGGCUAGGUCUUCAUAUGCACCUAACUUAUAGUUAAUAUUCUACUUGCGAUCUUCAUACGGUUAAGUGAAGGAGUAUUUUACUUUAAAAUUUUUUUUUGCGGGUGUUUUAAAAGUUGUUGUUGAUGAUCGGUACAAUAUUUUUUUUAGAUUGUCAGUUUUGCCAGCUGUUUAGGACGAGGAUCUGUAAAGUGCACAUUGCACAAUGCUUACUUGGAAUGCCAUUGAUACACUUAGGUUCUCUCCAAUCUAAACUGAAAAUACUUUGGAGUGAUAUAGUCAGGGUAGUUUCAGUAUUUUAGUGUGCUGAAACAUUCGAAAUUCAAUGCUGUUGAACCAUUAACACAAUCUGGUAAUAUUUUUCUUGUGUUAUUUCUCUUAAGUUUAUUAUGGAAAACUUUACAGUUAAGCUGCUUAGAAAGUUUCAAAAUGUGACUUGGUUCAUUUGCUAGUCAACAUUAAUGUGGGUUAACUGCUGCCUUAUCUUGGAAGCAGGGUGUUCCAAGCUCAUCAAACCUUAACACUAUUUAAUUCAGAAGGGCAUCCUAUGCAGUGUGCAGAGUUCUGUUUGGCAUUGUACCAUUUUCUUUCCUAUUUGUAACCAGAGCUUUCUUGUUGUUCACCUCGUUUGCCUUGAAGGCUUUACAUUAUUAUUCCUUCUUCUCUUGCUUAGUUUUCUUUUUGUCGGUCGAGGUUUUGUGGAGAAACUGAAUGCUAGGUUGCUAGUAUCUGCUUAGAUACCUUUCUAGUUUAGUCAAAUUGAAUCAAGAACUUUAUCAAGAAGAAUACACUUUCACUUGGCAGUGUUGAAUGCACAAGUGUUUCCUACAUAAAGGGCCUCUGUUAACCUCUUGUGUAGUUGUGCAUGCUAGAGUUAAUUGACUCUUGGACCUGCUUGCAAGGUAUUCUCACGAAUUAAUUUGUUUUUCUGGUCAGAAGUUAACGAUCACAAUUCGUUCUGCAGGGUGGCAACAGCAAUGCUUGUUGGGACUAAUGCUCGGUCCCUUCUCAACUGCAUGUGCUGGGUUCUGUAUUUACAUAUGCAACCAGUCAGGGCCUUAGCAAGCAAAGCACCUUCAUAGCAAGUAGAUAGGCAUUCAUAUUUUAGUACUCCGUAGAUAUCCUUCUCUAGUUGUACAAAUUUUAACUGACACCACAGAGAAGUUCUUGAGCUAGUUUACAAUGUUCCUAGCCAAAAAACAUACCAGUUAAAAGCACAUUAGAUCCAUCAAUAGGAUGCUAAAUAAUAGUGCUACUUUUGGGCUGAUGUGUUUCUCGUAUUUUCAUCUGUUCAGGGUGAACAAGAGAAGUUACGAAGGUUCCCCAAAAAUUCUGGGAUUAAGUGUUUUUAAACUUUAUCACCAUAUCAUCCUCUAAGUGAUCUUGAUGAGAUAAUAUGGAUACUGUCCACAAAUGCAUGCACAACUGCACAAGAUCAACCACUGGUCGAUAUGGUACCGGUAAUUCUGGCCCGUUCUCUACACCUUCAUUUUAAGUCAUAUACUUGUGGACAGUUACUGUCCGUCUAAAGCAACGUUUGUUUAUCUAGGUUUUAACUGUAUCUCAUUAUUACUGUAUGUCCGUAGUGGGGCUGAUAAUCAGCGGAUCUGUAUUUUGAUAUUUCUCUCCAGUCCCGUGAUAAAUGCAGUCCGGCAUGGGCAUGAUGGACAUACAAUCCAGUGGACCUUUCAACAUAGUUGGAUGGUGUCCUCUGUCCUGUAUGCAAGAGCUGCCAUAAUCUGGUCUCCUAAACUAUGUCAUGAACAGAUGGAGAUAAAUGAUGAAUACUAGCAAACGUGACCUUAUUAUAAGAUGGCCUUGCAGGGACCGGUUACAUGGUAAUAGUGCAAUAGUAAGGGCCAUAAAUAAAGAGGGUCCAUUUGCCACCCAAGUUGUUAGUUUUAAUAGGCUCUUUUAUUGGCUCUGCAAUGCAGGCACUGUAAAUAUUUGUUGUCUGGUAAUUUAUUUAAUCCGUAUUGAUGUGCAUAUAUUUUAAUGUUUAUGCUUUCUUUCACCUUAGAAAUGCUCCACUGUAUGAACUAGAUCCGUCAAACAGAGGUGUAGGCCCUUUCUUUACGACCAUCAGUUCCACAGUUUGAAGAAAUCUACAUUUAGUAUUGUCCCGUUUCUUUUUUUCUGCUGCUGUUCAAACAAACCUCCACCCAUAAUUGCCUUGCAUGGUUUAUGUUUACCAGGACAAAGAAGCGCUGCAUGCUUCAUUUUCUCUACACCGAUGCCUAAUUUCUGCUUCUGCAAUAGAAAGAGCUCCCUAAAUUAUGUGCAUGCUUAUUCACAGUACAGAGGAUAUGCUGUGAUGAUAUGUGGCAGUUUGCCAGGAGAAACAGGUGUACUGCCAGCAGCUGCAGGAACUACCAUCAGAUUAAUCUGUAGGCAAUAAUUCCAAUGACCAAAGGGACCAAACCUCCUGUUGCUCUAUUCAUCCUUUGAACCGUGCCACCUCCAUAUCUGAACUUUCUCCUCGUCAGUCAGCUUCAAAUUCCGGUAAAGUGACAUUGCUUAUUUCUCUUAGUUUCAGUCUUCCUAAUGCAUUUGGCUACAACCAAGAAAAUCAAGGUGGUUUCUCUUCAGCCUUUGCUUUGUUCUUAUACCAUGCUUGCUAUACAAGGUUCCACGUAUGAAUGAAUUUGAGUGCUAGAUCAGGCUGAAACUAUUGACAAAGGAACAGGGAAUUCAGUUUUUUUUUCCAAAAAGAGGAACGGGGACUCUGGUAUGCACCCCCCUAAAAACAGAAUCAAAGGUUCUAAUCACCUGACCCCACUAGGACUUACAUACUGCGCGGCUGUGUUAGCCCAUCAAAUCACUGACGCAAAGCUAACCUAGGAGCGCAAUGGCAGGGCAGAGACACAUACAUAGAGGAAAGCAUCUUUUGCUCAUAACAUUAGUCAAGUGAUUGGAGUGUGAUGUGAAUUAUUCUGGUAGGGUGGGGUGGUUUGGUCGCAUCACAUCAUUGCCUUAUACCACACCAUCAGAAGAAGGCAAAGCUCGUCUUUUUACAUGUAUUUUAUUUCUGAACUUAAAGUGUUCCGCAUACGGUGGGCUGUGGCUGCCCUGCCAUGGCACUCCAUCUCCAAAUUUGCAACUCCGAGUGCCAGGGCUACCCCAGGAACAAAGGGUGUUUUUCACCUCAUGUCAGGGAGAACAGUAGUGGAUCUAUGAUUUUAAUUGGUUUUAGGGGCGUCACUUCACGGUUUUAGGGGAGUAGCAGAUUUAACAGAGAAGCUCAAAUUUGCAAAAUACUACUCCAUCCGUUUCAUAAAGAUUGUCACGGCUUUAAACUAGAUCUAGUUUAAAUCCGUCCCAAUCUUUAUGAAACAGAGAGAGUACAAUACAAAGUUCUGUGGGCGAUCUAGGUGGACUAUGUUGUAAGGAUUAGAUUUUUGAUGCUUAGGUCUUGUGGAUAUUGGUGUGGCCUGCGGUGCUGCAAACAUAGGGAGGAUUAGAUUUUAGAUGAUUAGGUGCUGCAAACAUAGCGAUCUACGCUAUAUGCCAUGACGUUUUCCUAUAAGUGGGAUUAGAUUUUUGGAUGAUUAGGUCUUGUGGCGGUGAUGCAACUAUCAGCUAUGGGCUUUGGUAUUUUUGGUCUUUAGCCGGCAGAGUACUAUUACUACUCUUAUAUGGUAAAGUUUUGCAUUUUUGGAGGCACCCGGCCGCACCGUGCCCAUGUCGGACUUGGUUGUGAGGUACGCACUCCCACGCCGACACUAGUUAGAUUCAUUUUGCAUUGCUGAACUUAUUUCCUAAUCUUUUGUGUUAACAUAGUUGUGAAAAUAAGAAAACAUGGUUAGCUAAUCGAAAAAUAUGUAAAAGUUGAUCAUAUAAACUAUCGGUUUUUUUUGAGAGAUCAUAUAAACUAUCGUAAUCCACUUCAACUCAGAACACCGUCUUAAUUUUCCGACCGGUGUGCCAUAUUCCCGAGAGGAUCUCGCUUUCGGCUCUAGAAUAUUGUCGGAAGCAAGAGUACUGCCAUUCCUGCCGAUGGUGUGCUCCACAUAGUGCGUGCGUUUGCCAAUCCGGUCCUGAUGACGUGCCGGUGCCGGAGCCGGAUGAACGAAGGCAUGUGCGACGCGGAUUAGCCGUGGUUACUGGCAAUCUGGUACCACUACCACUGUUGUCAAGU